rnacentral:rRNA from 1 species
GAUGAACGCUGGCGGCGUGCCUAACACAUGCAAGUCGAACGGAGUUAUUAUUAUGAAGUUGUUGGAUGGAGUAAUAAGAACUUAGUGGCGGACGGGUGAGUAACGCGUGGGUAACCUGCCUCAUACAGGGGGAUAACAGUUGGAAACGGCUGCUAAAAACGCAAAACAUUGCGAUCUCGCACGCCAAUGCAUUUAAAUAUUUAUAGGUAUGAGAUGGGCCGGCGUCUGAUUAGCUAGUGGGUGGGGUAAUGGCCUACCAAGGCGACGAUCAGUAGCCGGCUUGAGAGAGUGACCCGCCACAUUGGGACUGAGACACGGCCCAAACUCCUACGGGAGGCAGCAGUGGGGAAUAUUGCACAAUGGGGGAAACCCUGAUGCAGCGACGCCGCGUGAGUGAAGAAGUAUUUCGGUAUGUAAAGCUCUAUCAGCAGGGAAGAAAAUGACGGUACCUGACUAAGAAGCCCCGGCUAACUACGUGCCAGCCGCCGCAGUAA